rnacentral:rRNA from 1 species
UAAGUUGGUAGUGAAAGCGUGCGGCUCAACCGCAUAUACAUUAUCAAAACUGCAAAGCUAGAGGACAAGAGAGGUUAUUGGAAUUCCUAGUGUAGGAGUGAAAUCCGUAGAUAUUAGGAGGAACACCGAUGGCGUAGGCAGAUAACUGGCUUGUUCCUGACACUAAGGCACGAAAGCGUGGGUAGCAAACGGGAUUAGAUACCCCGGUAGUCCACGCCGUAAACGAUGGAUGCUA